rfam:Triticum urartu cultivar G1812 contig365792, whole genome shotgun sequence.
CAAAUACUCCCUCCGUCCGGAAAUACUUGUCAUCAAAAUGGAUAAAAGGAAAUGUAUCUAGACAUGUUUUAGUUUUAGAUACAUCUCUUUUUAUCCAUUUUGAUGACAAGUAUUUUCGGACGGCGUAUGGAGAGAGUAGAAA